UCUAAGGUGCCUAUGUUUGGCUGCUGCAAGU
rnacentral:piRNA from 2 species